CUUAGCUUGCUAAGACUGAUGGCGACCGGCGCACGGGUGCGUAACGCGUAUGCAACUUGCCUCACAGAGGGGGAUAACCCGUCGAAAGACGGACUAAUACCGCGUACACUCCAUCUUGGGCAUCCAAGCUAGAGGAAAAGAAAUUCGCUGUGAGAUAGGCAUGCGUCCCAUUAGCUAGUUGGUGAGGUAACGGCUCACCAAGGCGACGAUGGGUAGGGGAACUGAGAGGUUGAACCCCCACACUGGUACUGAGACACGGACCAGACUCCUACGGGAGGCAGCAGUGAGGAAUAUUGGUCAAUGGGCGAGAGCCUGAACCAGCCAAGUCGCGUGAAGGAUGACUGUCUUAUGGAUUGUAAACUUCUUUUAUACGGGAAUAACAAGAGCCACGUGUGGCUCCCUGCAUGUACCGUAUGAAUAAGCAUCGGCUAACUCCGUGCCAGCAGCCGCGGUAAUACGGAGGAUGCGAGCGUUAUCCGGAUUUAUUGGGUUUAAAGGGUGCGUAGGCGGCCUGUUAAGUCAGCGGUGAAAUCUAGGAGCUUAACUCCUAAAUUGCCAGUGAUACUGGCGGGCUUGAGUGUAGAUGAGGUAGGCGGAAUGCGUGGUGUAGCGGUGGAAUGCAUAGAUAUCACGCAGAACUCCGAUUGCGAAGGCAGCUUACUAAGGUACAACUGACGCUGAAGCACGAAAGCGUGGGUAUCAAACAGGAUUAGAUACCCUGGUAGUCCACGCAGUAAACGAUGAUAACUGGGCGUAUGCGA
rnacentral:rRNA from 1 species